rnacentral:rRNA from 1 species
AUUGAACGCUGGCGGCAUGCUUUACACAUGCAAGUCGGACGGCAGCGGGGUAGUGCUUGCACUACUGCCGGCGAGUGGCGUACGGGUGAGUAAUAUAUUGGAACGUACCGAGUAAUGGGGGAUAACCAAUCGAAAGAUUGGCUAAUACCGCAUACGCUCUGAGGAGGAAAGCAGGGGACCUUCGGGCCUUGCGUUAUUCGAGCGGCCAAUAUCUGAUUAGCUAGUUGGUGGGGUAAGGGCCUACCAAGGCGACGAUCAGUAGCGGGUCUGAGAGGAUGAUCCGCCACACUGGGACUGAGACACGGCCCAGACUCCUACGGGAGGCAGCAGUGGGGAAUUUUGGACAAUGGGCGCAAGCCUGAUCCAGCCAUGCCGCGUGUCUGAAGAAGGCCUUCGGGUUGUAAAGGACUUUUGUUAGGGAAGAAAAAGGAGCGGUUAAUACCCGUUUCUGCUGACGGUACCUAAAGAAUAAGCACCGGCUAACUACGUG